rnacentral:rRNA from 1 species
ACUCCUACGGGAGGCAGCAGUAGGGAAUAUUGCGCAAUGGCCUAACGGCUGACGCAGCAACGCCGCGUGGAUGAAGAAGCUUUUCGAAGCGUAAAGUCCUUUCAGCGGGGAAGAAUGGGUCUUCGGACCCUUGACGGUACCCGCAGAAGAAGCACCGGCUAACUCCGUGCCAGCAGCCGCGGUAAUACGGGGGGUGCAAGCGUUGUUCGGAUUUACUGGGCGUAAAGCGCACGCAGGCGGGCUGUCAAGUCGGAUGUGAAAACCAGGAGCUUAACUCCUGGCCUGCAUUCGAAACUGGCAGUCUUGAGUACCGGAGAGGAUGGCGGAAUUCCUGGUGUAGCGGUGAAAUGCGUAGAUAUCAGGAAGAACACCGGUGGCGAAGGCGGCCAUCUGGACGGAUACUGACGCUCAGGUGCGAAGGCUAGGGGAGCAAACAGGAUUAGAUACCCUGGUAGUCCUAGCGGUAAACGAUGGGCACUAGGUGUUGGUGGUAUCGACUCCACCAGUGCCGCAGCUAACGCAUUAAGUGCCCCGCCUGGGGAGUACGGCCGCAAGGCUGAAACUCAAAGGAAUUGACGGGGGCCCGCACAAGCGGUGGAGUAUGUGGUUUAAUUCGACGCAACGCGAAGAACCUUACCUGGGUUUGACACGCGCAGGAAAACUACAGAGAUGUAGUCCCCUUUUCGGANGUCUGUGCACANGUGCUGCAUGGCUGUCGUCAGCUCGUGCCGUGAGGUGUUGGGUUAAGUCCCGCAACGAGCGCAACCCCNGUUCUUANUUGCCAUCNNNUUAUGCUGGGCACUCUAAGGAGACUGCCGGUGA